rnacentral:lncRNA from 1 species
AAUUCAUGUUUUCAAAGAUGUAGACACGUAUAAACGAAAUAUAAACAUCAUAACAAUAAUAAAAACUUAAAAAGAAAUUAAUAGCGUGUUAUGGACAUAAGCAAUCAACAUAGCAAUAUGACCAAGUGAAUGAUCAAAUUUUUGUCACACAAUAAAAAUGAGAGGUGCACCAAUACAAACAACAGAUCAAGCAUCCCAAAACACAGUAAAUUGUUAAAC